GCCCCUGUAUCGGUCCGGGAGUUCUACCCCGCGAAGCCGUAGAGGAUGACGCCCGUUCGAAUCGGGCCAGGGGCUCCA
rnacentral:tRNA from 1 species